rnacentral:tRNA from 1 species
UCCCUGGUGGCCCAGUGUCUAGGACUCUGCGCUCUGAAGGCAGGGGGCCUAGGUUCAAUCCCUGGUCAGGGAA